rnacentral:rRNA from 2 species
GUAACAAGGUUUCCGUAGGUGAACCUGCGGAAGGAUCAUUAAUGAAUUCUAAUGCUGGGGUUGUAGCUGGCCUUUCAAUCGAGAGGUAUUGUGCACGCCUUGGUUAUUCCAAUUCUUACACCUCUGUGCACUUUACAUAGAAAGAUUUAUUAGUUGAGUGAAAGGGUCGACUCUUCGGGGUUGAACCAAGUAAUUCGACUGGUAAGCUCUCUGUGGUUCAAUACAUUUAUACCAGUCAGUUCAGAAUGUAACCCUGCGUACWACGCAAACUAUUAUAUACAACUUUCAGCAACGGAUCUCUUGGCUCUCGCAUCGAUGAAGAACGCAGCGAAAUGCGAUAAGUAAUGUGAAUUGCAGAAUUCAGUGAAUCAUCGAAUCUUUGAACGCACCUUGCACUCCUUGGUAUUCCGAGGAGUAUGCCUGUUUGAGUGUCAUGAUAUCCUCAAUUCUAAUGACUUUGUUAUACGAAGUCUUUCGGAAUUGGACUUGGAGGUUUUUUUGCCGGAGCUUCGGCUUUUUCUGGCUCCUCUCAAAUGCAUUAGUGUGAACCAGGUUACACAUUAAUCAGUGUGAUAAUUAUCUACGCUGCUUCAAUGUUGACUAUAUAAGUGUUCAUGCUUAUAACCCGUCUGUUGACUCAGACACUAUACUUUGAAAUCUGACCUCAAAUCAGGUAGGACUACCCGCUGAACUUAAGCAUA